AUGCCUCGUGGGCAGAAGAGUAAGCACCGUGCUCGUGAGAAACGUCGCCAGGCCCGGGCUGAGACCCAGGGUCUUCAUGAUCAGGCUACCACAUCUGGGGAGGAAGAGACCACCUCCUCCUCCCCUCCUGAUUCAGAGAGCAGUCCCUCAAGCUCGUCUGCUGCUGGCACCUCCAAGGGGCCUCAGGGAGCCCAAGGCACCACCAGUGCUGCUGCAGGUGCUGUACGCAAAAGAUCUGGUGUCGGGCGCGCAGCACGCUCAAGAUCUGGUGUAGGUGCCGCAGCACGCUCAAGAUCUGGUGUAGGUGCCGAGGGCCAGGUUCAGGAAGGGGAAAAUUCCUCCCAGGCCUCAGCUGCUGCUGAAAGCUCUCACACAGAUCUUCUGACCUGGAAGGCAGAGAUGUUGGUGCAGUACAUGCUAUUUAAGUAUAAUACGAGGGAGCUCAUUAAGAGGUCAGAAAUGCUGAAAGUUGUCCACAGAAGGUACAGGGAGCAAUUCCCUGAGAUCCUCAGCAGGGCCUCUGAGCACAUGGAGAUGGUGUUUGGCAUGGUGCUGAAGGAAGUCAGGCCCAACAGUCACUGCUAUACCCUGGUGAGCAACCUAGAUCUCAGCGACAGUGAGUCUAUGAGAGGUGACUGGGGGCUGCCGAAGAAUGGUCUUCUGAUGCCUCUGCUGGGUGUCAUCUACCUGAAUGGCCAUCGCACCUCUGAGGAGGAGAUCUGGAAGUUCCUGAAUAUUCUGGGCAUCUUUGAUGGAAGAAGUCACUUCAUCUUUGGAGACACCAGGAAGCUCAUCACAGAAGAUCUGGUGCGGGAAGAGUAUCUGGAAUACAACCUGGUGCCCGGCAGCGAUCCCCCUCGCUAUGAGUUCCUGUGGGGUCCUAAAGCUCUCACAGAAACCUGCAAGACGAAAGUCCUGCAGUUUUUGACCAAGGUCAACGAUUUGGUCCCUGAUGCCUUACUGCCGCAUUAUUUGGAGGUUUCGAGAGAGGAGGUAGAGAACACUGGAGCUGGAGCUGCAGCCGGUACCGGCCCUUCUGCCUCAGCCAGCGCUGGCCUUUCUGCAUCAGCCAGCUCUGGCCCUUCUGCCUCAGCCAGUGCUGGCCCUUCUGCCUUGUCCAGAGUUUGCACUUAUGUUGCAGCCAGGGCUGGCACUUCAGCCUCAGCCGGGGCUGACAUGUCUGCCUCGGCCAAUGCUGGCCCUUCGGCCUCGGCCAGGGCUGGCACCACAGCCUCAGCCAGGGCUGACAUGUCUGCCUCGGCCAGUGCUGGCCCUUCGGCCUCGGCCAGGGCUGGCACCUCAGCCUCAGCCAGGGCUGACAUGUCUGCCUCGGCCAAUGCUGGCCCUUCGGCCUCGGCCAGGGCUGACAUGUCUGCCUCGGCCAGUGCUGGCUCUUCGGCCUCAGCCAGGGCUGGCACCUCGGCUGCAGCCAGAGCUGACAUGUCUGCCUCGGCCAGUGCUGGCCCUUCUUCCUCGGCAAGAGCUGGCCCUUCUGCCUCAGCCAGGGCUGGCACUUCUGCCUCAGCCAAUGCCCGCUCUAGGGCCACAUCCAGCCGCUCAUCUCGCCCCUAG
rnacentral:lncRNA from 1 species